GACGAACGCUGGCGGCGUGCUUAACACAUGCAAGUCGAACGCUGAAGCUUGGUGCUUGCACUGGGUGGAUGAGUGGCGAACGGGUGAGUAAUACGUGAGUAACCUGCCCUUGACUCUGGGAUAAGCCUGGGAAACUGGGUCUAAUACUGGAUACGACAUGUCACCGCAUGGUGGCGUGUGGAAAGGGUUUUACUGGUUUUGGAUGGGCUCACGGCCUAUCAGCUUGUUGGUGGGGUAAUGGCUCACCAAGGCGACGACGGGUAGCCGGCCUGAGAGGGUGACCGGCCACACUGGGACUGAGACACGGCCCAGACUCCUACGGGAGGCAGCAGUGGGGAAUAUUGCACAAUGGGCGAAAGCCUGAUGCAGCGACGCCGCGUGAGGGAUGACGGCCUUCGGGUGGUAAACCUCUUUCAGCACGGAAGAAGCGAAAGUGACGGUACGUGCAGAAGAAGCGCCGGCUAACUACGU
rnacentral:rRNA from 1 species